rnacentral:rRNA from 1 species
CGUAGGAGGCAAACGUUAUCCGGAUUCACUGGGCGUAAAGCGCGUGCAGGCGGUGCGGUAAGUUGGGUGUGAAAUCUCCCGGCUCAACUGGGAGAGGUCAUUCAAUACUACCGUACUCGAGAGCAGAAGAGGAAGAUGGAAUUCCCGGUGUAGUGGUGAAAUGCGUAGAUAUCGGGAGGAACACCAGUGGCGAAGGCGAUCUUCUGGUCUGUUUCUGACGCUCAGACGCGACAGCUAGGGUAGUAAACGGGAUUAGAGACCCCGGUAAUCCUAGCCGUAAACGAUGUGAACUUGGCGUUGGUGGGUUAAACUCCAUCAGUGCCGUAGCAAACGCGAUAAGUUCACCGCCUGGGGACUACGGCCGCAAGGUUA